AGAACUUGCUUUCCAAAAUGCAGGCCACAGUUAAACAUGAGUCAUAGUAGUAGGUGACAGUUUCAGCUGUCCAAGACCAGAACCAACUGAUAUCCAAGUCCAGAACCAAGACUAACUUCUACAAACAUUUAGAAUAAAACUGGGUUGCUACAAACAUUUAUACUAAAAACGAGAACACACAUUUGGAGUGAACCCAAUGGUAUCCAAGUACAGAACCACACAUUUUGAGUGAACCAACUGCUGUUGCAUGGCACAGGAUCACACAUUUCAGAUUUCAGGAACCAAAUUGCAGUUGUACAUGGCUUGGAUCUUCUUCUUUGGAGUUAUCUUUUUCACAGCUCUCCUUAAUUUCCUAGGUGGGGACAGUGUUGAAACAACCUAUGUUGCACAUUCCACCGGUGGCACAAGUUCAUUCACAGGAGGCACUGGUACAAUUUCAAGUGAGGAAGAUGGAAUGCUAACAAGCUGCUGUGAGGAAGAAUCCACACUUACUUGGGGCUGCUCAGCAAAUGGCUCAGGCUCUUUUGGAAACCACUUUUUAGUCAUGCAUCUUGAUGUACCAAAAUGUUUGUAAGAAACUGCAUCAAAUCAGUGUUCAUAAGAAACAUAAUUUCUCUAGUGUAGGUCAAACAUAAACUGCAAGGUAUGAUUUCAUAUCACUUGGGAAAUGUACCAAAUGCUCCCAAUGGAACAUCAACAUGAUCAUGUUAAACUGCAUCAAGUACAUGUUAUCUAUUAUUUUAGUGAAAAUCUG
rnacentral:lncRNA from 1 species